rnacentral:ncRNA from 1 species
UGAGCAACUGACGGGGCUGGUGCCUGUGCAAACAGGUGAAAAGGGAAUGCGCGAGGCCCCGUUCGGGCCGAACCGCAGCCGCCCCCGCGACCGUGACCGGAAAGGUCGCCCAUGAUGCCACUGACCGCAACUGCGGGUUGGGAAGGCCGGGCGACCGACGGGGCCAAUGCACGCCCCGAGAUCCGCAAGCCGGGAGACCUGCCAGCGCAAACGACGCAAC